rnacentral:rRNA from 1 species
CACGUAGGGGGGCAAGCGUUGUCCGGAUUUAUUGGGCGUAAAGAGCUCGUAGGCGGUUCAGUAAGUCAGGUGUGAAACCUCCAGGCUCAACCUGGAGACGCCACCUGAUACUGCUGUGACUGGAGUCCGGUAGGGGAGCGUGGAAUUCCUGGUGUAGCGGUGAAAUGCGUAGAUAUCUGGAGGAACACCGGUGGCGAAGGCGGCAUCCUGGACCGACACUGACGCUGAGGCGCGAAAGCUAGGGUAGCAAACGGG